AGGAAAACCAUAUAAAUUGGUGAGCCGGUCGCGGUGGCUUACGCCAAUAAUCCCAGCACGUUGGGAGACCAAAGGUAAAAAAAUGUUGGGAAAUCCUACCUCAGGCUCCACCAUGGCCCAGACUGCGUCUCUAGCUGAAGGGAUACAAAUCCCAAUAAAUCUCCAACUUCCCUUAAGCAUACAGAAGGCUUCCCUACACGUUUUUGUGACAAACUGAAAAUUGGUUGAUAAUAUGAGUAUUUCUUUCACAUGAGAAUAAGAUGCAGAACAGACUCUCGCAUAUUCUACCACCCCAGUCCCCUACCCCAUUCUGGUUGCUUGAUUCUUAAAGUCUGGAUAAAUAACUGACUUUAGUCUAUUAAUUUAACUAUUAUCAUCUAAGCUUUACGUACUCUUAGCUUACAACCAAGUGUCUUUAAAUCUGUUUUUUCAAUAAAAACUAAGGCAAAAAGUUCACACAGAAA